CCGAUGAAAGUUGAAUCAGAAGCUAAUCCGAUGGCCACACCAUCUGAGAAAAGUCUGGUCCCAAUCCCAGACGAGAAGCUCUCUCUCUCCAAAACCCUUGCCAUACCCGAAAGUAAAACACCUCUCUCUCUCUCUCUCUCUUUUUCUCUAUCAUAUUAUAUAAAACAGUGGAGUCAAUCUGAAGGAGGAGCAAUCUUGCCCACUAACUGUUCGAUAAAAAUGAUGUGAGCCAGAGGUGCUAAAUUUAGACUUCAUUAAUGCUCCAAUCGAUUUGUACUACAAACCCAGGUUAGUACUACACAGGAAUAGUACACAUUAACCCUUAUUUCCAUGUUGGUAAGGUUUUCUUGAUUCAACACCUAUAAAUAUGGUAAUUUGGUGAUUUGUUUGAAAUACCCAAUUGAGGGUUUAUUGGGUUUUGUGAGCAAAUGCAGAGGAAGUCAAUAACCAAUCUGGUGAUUUGGCUGAUUUGUGGAGUUCUGGGGGUCGGCAUUUCUGGGUUUUGGCAAAGAUUUAUUUGUUGAUACAUACAUUUGAAGAAUUCAGACUUCAAUUUUGAGACUUUGUGAGCUUUUCAUACUCUCAGACCUUCCUAUGCUAAGGAAAAGAACUAUCCAGGUGCUUAUCUUGCAAGAUAGUGUAGAAGAGAAGGAUGAUGAGAUCACAAGGUUGAAGCAGGAGUUGCAGCAGAGGAGCAUAGUGGAAGAGGAGAAGACUGAGGUAGCUUCUGAUAAGAAAGAUGGUGACAUCGACGGAGGGAUGCUAUGUCCUGAAGCAGAAACAGAGAGAAAUUGCUAGACAAUUAUGUGUGGAACAUCAAUUGUUGUUCUAAAAAAUGGCAUCAUUUGAUGAUAACACCCAGUUCAUGAUAGCAAUGUUAAGGUGAGUGUAGAAAAUGUUGUUAAUGUAGUCUUCUGACCUUGACUAAUCGACAGUUGGGUUUUCUUGAGCUGUCCAUUUCAUUCUGUUCUGUGCCUCCAACGAAGUUGUUUUCAGUGAUCAAGAUAGUAUUACCAUUGUUCUCUUUGUUCUUUCCUUUUUUAUUGCAUUAGUUCCUAUUUGAACUAAAGCCUCUCUAAUUUCUGUGGUCUUGCCUCUUAUUAGUUCUAUCCUUAUAUGGGUUUAACUCCAUUUUUACUAUCAUCAAUCCUCUUUGUUACAUUUGACAUGUUUUAACAGAUAGUAGCAAUAAUUCACCAUUCAAAUCAAUCAAAAUGGCACAGACCUUUUACUUCAUUAAAUCUUUCCCUACGGUUGCACUUUGCAAUUAUUGGAUCUAUUGCAUCAAUUAAUUACUAGAAAGGAACAAUGAAUUCAGAAAGCUGGCAGCACUCUGUGAAAUGAUUUUGUGAAUCACAUAAGACUUGGUUGUAACCUUAAACUCUUGAGGGAAAGGAAGACAAUGGACUAUGUGAAGCUAAUGCAUAAGAGUUACAACAUGAAUGACAUCUUGCCAGAUAGCAAUGUACAGUACCCCUUGGAAGUUUGUGUUUUAGUUUUUGGGCACAAGCCAAUGCUGCUUACUUUAGUAUGCACAUUUGUGAUAUUGCUUAUCUGCUUCUGCAAUAUUUCUCAGACUCUUCUCUAUGAAAUUCAAAUAAAAGUGUUGUAGGAUUGCUUUUUUAUUCUGGAAAAGUUUCUAUUUGUUCUUAUUUUCUUUUCUCUCAUUCAUUCGUAUCUAUUAUUCAAGAAAUUUCCAGACAAUUAUGUGUGGAACAUCAAUUGUUGUUCUCAAAAAUGGCAUCAUUUGAUGAUAACACCCAGUUCAUGAUAGCAAUGUUAAGGUGAGUGUAGAAAAUGUUGUUAAUGUAAUCUUCAGACCUUGACUAAUUCAAUUCGGGUUGUUU